rnacentral:rRNA from 1 species
UACGUAGGGGGCAAGCGUUGUCCGGAUUUAUUGGGCGUAAAGAGCGUGUAGGCGGCCGCACAGGUCCGUUGUGAAAACUGGAGGCUUAACCUUCAGACGUCGAUGGAAACCGUGCGGCUAGAGUCCGGAAGAGGAGAAUGGAAUUCCUGGUGUAGCGGUGAAAUGCGUAGAUAUCGGGAGGAACACCAGUGGCGAAGGCGACUACCUGGCCUGUUCUUGACGCUGAGGCGCGAAAGCUAGGGGAGCAAACGGG